ensembl:lncRNA
CGCGGAGGGAGCGGCUCGGGGUGGGUGGGGGUCCGCGGUACGGCGCCGUGAGCGCGCCGCCCGGGAAGGCUUCCGGAGGCCGCACCUAGCGGUAAAGUUCGCGGCGGCCGCAGCUCCCAUCCCGGCUGAGCCACGGCUGCUGGGACUCUGCCCCCGCCGUGCCGGGGAACCGCCCGUCCUCGCUGCGGGAGGAAGCGCCGCUCACCUGCGAGCAGCCGGGCGGAGUUUGGGGGUCCUCUGCCUCGCCUCUGGUCCGGCGCCGGCGGGACUGGGGCGCUGGGGAGGACGGGAGGAUCUGCCCGCUCCCGAUUGCUAAACUGCUAAGCGAGAUAAUGACGAGAGGAAAAGGAUUGACGAAUGGCUUGGGUGGGGACAGUGCUGCUGAUGCCUUCUCCAGACGAGACGCCCAAACAAGGCAGCUACCACCGGAACAGAGCAAGACAACUUGUUUAUCAGACAGAGGAAUGCUCCUCAGCAGUGCAGGGCAGGAGGAAGAGGGGGCUGCUGUCUCCAGGCCCAGCGUAGGCAGUUCAGAGAUGGCCUGCAUUGUUCUACAUCAGGAUAACGAGGCGCUUCCGCAGCCCCUUUCCUGUGGGAAUCCCAACAGGCCAGCACCAGCAGUAGGACACGCAGGAGCUGUUUUGCAUACUGUAACUAAUGCCCCUGAACGCCCCUUUGUCCAUCUUGCGUCACCUGCAGUCUGAUCCCUGUCAGCUCAUGAGCACACAGAGCCUUCAAAGUUGUCUGCCAGCCGUACAGGAUGCAUUCUUAUUUCUCAGCUUUGAGCGUGUCCCAGGACUGGGACAGAGCCAGAUCACUUGCCCUUUUAUCACUCCUGCCCCCGGGAUGGCCUAAGGAGAAGGGAAGAGUGCUCUGCACUGUGUGACACAGAAGGAAGUGUAGAGCCCAGCUUUGCCUUGGCCACCGCCCCGGUGAGCAAGCAGCACAGCACCACCAGCUUGUUCGUCCAGCAACGGAGACAGGUGAUACCAAGUCCUACCUCUGAGUCAGCAAGGAGCAUGCAGUGAAGAUACAGCCUUUUCCAGUAACUGGGAUUUUGCCUCACCUGCUGAUCAGCUGCCUUGUCACAAGAGGAAGUCCUCUGAUAUCAGCGUCUUGGAAUUUUUUAAUUAAGCUUUGUCCUGGCUCCGUGGCUUUCCUUUGACUUCUCUGCCCUGGUCGGCUCACCCAGCUGCAAAGUACUUUCUACUGCUGAUGUCCUCCCAUUUGCAGGCUCCCAGUCACAGCUUCUGCUUACGCCUUAGGCUUGGCUGCUGAGGAGUCUCUUUCUCACUGCCACAGCUCUAGCAUGGUCCAAGCACAGUAUAAAGCAUCACAAAGCAGCAGGGAAGGCUACGAGCAUAUUCUGAAAUCCACAGAGGCCCCUAAAUCAAUAAGUGUAUCCAUCUGUCCCCAGUGAAUUCAAGCUUUUCAAGUUACGGCUUCGAUUACUGUAAUUCCAAAAGAUUGCAGCGGGCAGAGGAGUAUGCUUCUCUUUUUUCUAUUUUUAUGAGCAUAUGAUAGCACUCUGAUAUGAAAUUACAUGUUUUACUGUUUCCCUUGGUAUGUACAGCUGGACACAAAGCCACCCGAGGUCAGCGGAAAGAUUGCCACCAACCUCAGAGCCUCUGGCUUAGACCCAUAAUUACUUUCUUCUGUGGUUUGUUCCAGUUCUGCACCCUUACGUGUCGAAACACAGGAAAACCCAUCUGUAAAGCCACAGGGGAUGAUACCAUGUUUAACUAGUUGCAGAAAGCUUUGUAGAUUUAAAAUCUAUAGCAUCGUUUUAAUUCUUGUUCUUCUGCAGCCCUUGAAACUUCCACCCACUUUGGUUGUUUGUGAGGACAGGCAGUAUCUCCAGGCUAUGGGCUGGGAUCAUUAUAGCUCUCGGUAGUGUGUGUGUGUGGAGUGAUUGACGCAGAUGUUUUUACAAUGGAUGCUUUAUAAAACAGCAAAAUGAAUUUCCAAUUCUCUAAGCAGGCAGCGUCGUUUGCACGAAGGCCACUUUCCAAAACACCCAUCCUCAAUCCUCCCCUUUCUGCCCAGUGUUUAUCUGUACGUCCGUCUCCCCCCGAGGCAUCAGCAGGCUGUGACAGUGCUGUUUCUCACGCACACACCCAAAACAAGGCCCUGAGCCGAUGGACUCAAGCGUCACCACAACAGCAGCAGCUUCUUUGCAGCCAGCACGCAUCCCGCUCACUGACCACCCAAAGCCUCCUCCUCCUGGGGAGGCAGGGCACGCUAACUCAGGUAACCAACACAGCGUGGGAGCGGUACAAGGUGUCACGUCGGGGCCAUCGCAGUGGUGACCGUAAGACGGUGCAGUCUGGGACAGGCGCCUUCCCUGUGUCCAGUUUUCACCCUCAGGAAUCUCCACAGCCCGUCCCCUCAGCCCCAGCUCGCCCGGAACACAGCCCACCGCAGCCCGACCCCCCGCCGCUUUCCCCGCUCACCCUCAGCAUCCACCAGCACCUCCUGCGCGACCUUCCCGCCUAAGUUCCCGCCGCGCUGCGAUUGGUCGGGAGUUGAGCCAAUAGCGGAGCCGUUGCUGGGCAGAACACGGCGGAGCGAAGAGGCGCGGCGCGAGGCACGCACGUGCGGCAGGGCCGACGCGCAUGCGCGAGCCGUCGCC